CCUACGGGAGGCAGCAGUGAGGAAUAUUGGGCAAUGGACGGAAGUCUGAACCAGCCAUGCCGCGUGCAGGAAGACGGCUCUAUGAGUUGUAAACUGCUUUUGUACAAGGGUAAACCUGAAUACGUGUAUUCAGCUGAAAGUACUGUACGACUAGGGAUCGGCUAACGCCGUGCGAGCAGCCGCGGUAAUACGGAGGAUCCAAGCGUUAUCCGGAUUUAUUGGGUUUAACGGGUGCGUAGGCGGAUUGAUAAGUUAGUGGUGAAAUGUCCGAGCUUAACUCGGGAACUGCCUCUAAUACUGUUGAUCUAGAGAGUAGAUGCGGUAGGCGGAAUGUAUGGUGUAGCGGUGAAAUGCUUAGAGAUCAUACAGAACACCGAUUGCGAAGGCAGCUCACCAAUCUAUAUCUGACGUUGAGGCACGAAAGCGUGGGGAGCAAACAGGAUUAGAUACCCGGGUAGUC
rnacentral:rRNA from 1 species